AAGUGUUGUAGCUCCUUUAGAAUUUGUCUAGCAGGUUUUAUAGGUUUUGCCAGAAAAUUUCCCAC
rfam:Pongo abelii chromosome 5.